GAUGAACGCUAGCGGGAGGCUUAACACAUGCAAGUCGAGGGGUAAAUGGUAGCAAUCUAUGAGACCGGCGGACGGGUGCGUAACGCGUAUGCAACAUACCUUGUGCAGGGGGAUAGCCCGUGGAAACGCGGAUUAAUAUUCCAUAGUCCAGCUAUAUCGCAUGGUAUAGUUGGUAAAGAUUUAUCGGCACAAGUUUGGCAUGCGUCUGAUUAGCUUGUUGGUAGGGUAACGGCCUACCAAGGCUACGAUCAGUAGGGGUUCUGAGAGGAUUAACCCCCACACUGGUACUGAGACACGGACCAGACUCCUACGGGAGGCAGCAGUGAGGAAUAUUGGUCAAUGGGCGGAAGCCUGAACCAGCCAUCCCGCGUGAAGGAAGACAGCCUUACGGGUUGUAAACUUCUUUUCUGUCAGAAGAAUAAGCUUGUCGAGACGAGUGAUGCCGGUAUGACAGGAAUAAGCAUCGGCUAACUCCGUG
rnacentral:rRNA from 1 species